rnacentral:rRNA from 1 species
UACGUAGGGUGCAAGCGUUAUCCGGAAUUAUUGGGCGUAAAGAGCUCGUAGGCGGUUUGUCGCGUCUGCUGUGAAAACUGGAGGCUCAACCUCCAGCCUGCAGUGGGUACGGGCAGACUAGAGUGCGGUAGGGGAGAUUGGAAUUCCUGGUGUAGCGGUGGAAUGCGCAGAUAUCAGGAGGAACACCGAUGGCGAAGGCAGAUCUCUGGGCAUUAACUGACGCUGAGGAGCGAAAGCGUGGGGAGCAAACAGG